AACGAACGCUGGCGGCAGGCUUAACACAUGCAAGUCGAACGCAUCCUUCGGGGUGAGUGGCAGACGGGUGAGUAACGCGUGGGAACGUGCCCUUCAGUUCGGGAUAACCCAGGGAAACUUGGGCCAAUACCGGAUACGUGCGAGAGCAGAAAGAUUUAUCGCUGAAGGAUCGGCCCGCGUCUGAUUAGCUAGUUGGUGGGGUAAUGGCCCACCAAGGCGACGAUCAGUAGCUGGUCUGAGAGGAUGAUCAGCCAAAUUGGGACUGAGACACGGCCCAAACUCCGACGAGAGGCCGCAGUGGGGAAUAUUGGAACAUGGGCGCAAGCCUGAUCCAGCCAUGCCGCGUGAGGGAUGAAGGCCUUAGGGUUGUAAAGCUCUUUCGUCCGGGACGAUAAUGACGGUACCGGAAGAAGAAGCCCCGGCUAACUUCGUGCCAGCAGCCGCCGUAA
rnacentral:rRNA from 1 species